AAUGAACGCUGGCGGCAUGCCUAAUACAUGCAAGUCGAACGAACGCACGAUAAGAUUUUUCUCUUACCGUUAGCGACGGACGGACGAGUAACACAUGGAUAACCUACCACUUAUACUUGGAUGAUAUCGGGAAACCGCAUCCACUACUAGCUAAUAUAAUCAACGGCAGGGUUCAGUAGUGAAAGACGGUUUUCCUGUCACUUAGAGACGAAUUCGUGUCGCAUUAGCUAGGUGGUAAGGUAACGGCUUACCAAGGCAACGAUGCGUAGCUGACCUGAGAGGAUGAUCGGCCACACUGGAACUGAGACACGGUCCAGACUCCUACGGGAGGCAGCAGUAGGGAAUAUUGCACAAUGGGCGAAAGCCUGAUGUAGCAAUGCCGCGUGGGUGAAGAAGGUCUUCGGGUCGUAAAACCCUGUUAUUGGGGAAGAAAAAAAGCAUAUGUAUCUACGGACGUCUUGACGGUACCUAAAGAGUAAGCCACGGCUAACUACGUG
rnacentral:rRNA from 1 species